rnacentral:rRNA from 1 species
GAUGAACGCUGGCGGUAUGCUUAACACAUGCAAGUCGAACGGUCUUUUAGGAGACAGUGGCGGACGGGUGAGUAACGCGUAAGAAUCUACCCUCAGGUCGGGGACAACCACUGGAAACGGUGGCUAAUACCGGAUGUGCCGAGAGGUGAAAGGCUUGCUGCCUGGGGAAGAGCUUGCGUCUGAUUAGCUAGUUGGUAGUGUAAGAGACUACCAAGGCGACGAUCAGUAGCUGGUCUGAGAGGAUGAUCAGCCACACUGGGACUGAGACACGGCCCAGACUCCUACGGGAGGCAGCAGUGGGGAAUUUUCCGCAAUGGGCGAAAGCCUGACGGAGCAAUACCGCGUGAGGGAGGAAGGCUCUUGGGUUGUAAACCUCUUUUCUCAGGGAAGAAAAAAAUGACGGUACCUGAGGAAUAAGCAUCGGCUAACUCCGUGCCAGCAGCCGCGGUAAUACGGAGGAUGCAAGCGUUAUCCGGAAUGAUUGGGCGUAAAGGGUCCGCAGGUGGCAUUGAAAGUCUGCUGUUAAAGAGUCUAGCUCAACUAGAUAAGAGCAGUGGAAACUACAAAGCUAGAGUUUGGUCGGGGCAGAAGGAAUUCCUGGUGUAGCGGUGAAAUGCGUAGAUAUCAGGAAGAACACCAGUGGCGAAGGCGUUCUGCUAGGCCGAGACUGACACUGAGGGACGAAAGCUAGGGGAGCGAAUGGGAUUAGAUACCCCAGUAGUCCUAGCCGUAAACGAUGGAUACUAGGCGUAGCUCGUAUCGACCCGAGCUGUGCCGGAGCUAACGCGUUAAGUAUCCCGCCUGGGGAGUACGCAGGCAACUGUGAAACUCAAAGGAAUUGACGGGGGCCCGCACAAGCGGUGGAGUAUGUGGUUUAAUUCGAUGCAACGCGAAGAACCUUACCAAGGCUUGACAUGUCACGAAUCCUGUGGAAACAUAGGAGUGCCUUCGGGAGCGUGAACACAGGUGGUGCAUGGCUGUCGUCAGCUCGUGUCGUGAGAUGUUGGGUUAAGUCCCGCAACGAGCGCAACCCUCGUUUUUAGUUGCCAGCAUUAAGUUGGGCACUCUAGAGAGACUGCCGGUGACAAACCGGAGGAAGGUGGGGAUGACGUCAAGUCAGCAUGCCCCUUACGUCUUGGGCUACACACGUACUACAAUGCUACGGACAAAGGGCAGCUACACAGCGAUGUGAUGCGAAUCUCAUAAACCGUAGCUCAGUUCAGAUCGAAGGCUGCAACUCGCCUUCGUGAAGGAGGAAUCGCUAGUAAUUGCAGGUCAGCAUACUGCAGUGAAUUCGUUCCCGGGCCUUGUACACACCGCCCGUCACACCAUGGAAGUUGGUCACGCCCGAAGUCGUUACCCCAACCGCAAGGGGGGGGAUGCCUAAGGUAGGACUGAUGACUGGGGU